GGGUCAUUAGGUUGGUCGUGCCACCGGUACGUACUGGUCUCACUGAUUCCUCCUUCCUGAAGAACCGUAAUGCCAUUAAUUUGGUGUUGCGAGGAAACAGGACUGUUACUUUGAAAAAAUUAGAGUGUUUAAAGCAAGCUAACGCUUGAAUACAUUAGCACGGAAUAAUGAAAUAGGACGAUCGAUCCUAUUUUGUUGGUUUCUAGGAUUGACGUA
rnacentral:rRNA from 1 species